GAUGAACGCUGGCGGCGCGCCUAACACAUGCAAGUCGAACGGCACCCCUCCUCGGAGGGAAGCGAGUGGCGAACGGCUGAGUAACACGUGGAGAACCUGCCCCCUCCCCCGGGAUAGCCGCCCGAAAGGACGGGUAAUACCGGAUACCCCGGGGUGCCGCAUGGCACCCCGGCUAAAGCCCCGACGGGAGGGGAUGGCUCCGCGGCCCAUCAGGUAGACGGCGGGGUGACGGCCCACCGUGCCGACAACGGGUAGCCGGGUUGAGAGACCGACCGGCCAGAUUGGGACUGAGACACGGCCCAGACGCCUACGGGAGGCAGCAGUGGGGAAUCUUGCGCAAUGGGGGGAACCCUGACGCAGCGACGCCGCGUGCGGGACGGAGGCCUUCGGGUCGUAAACCGCUUUCAGCAGGGAAGAGUCAAGACUGUACCUGCAGAAGAAGCCCCGGCUAACUACGUG
rnacentral:rRNA from 1 species